GACGAACGCUGGCGGCGUGCUUAACACAUGCAAGUCUACGAGAAUAAGGUAGCAAUAUCUUUAGUAAAGUGGCGCACGGGUGAGUAACACGUAAGUAACCUACCUUUAGAUUUGGAAUAACCCCGAGAAAUCGGGGCUAAUACCGAAUGAUGCAGCGGCACCACAUGGUGAUGUUGUUAAAGUCCAUAUGACGUCUAAAGAUGGGCUUGCGUUUGAUUAGCUAGUUGGUGAGGUAACGGCUCACCAAGGCAACGAUCAGUAGCUGGUCUGAGAGGAUGAUCAGCCACACUGGAACUGAGACACGGUCCAGACUCCUACGGGAGGCAGCAGUGAGGAAUAUUGGGCAAUGCCCGAAAGGGUGACCCAGCAACGCCGCGUGGAGGAUGAAUGCCGUAAGGUUGUAAACUCCUGUUAGAGGGGAAGAAAAAUCUCGAUCAAAUCGAGAACUGACUGUACCCUCAGAGAAAGCCCCGGCUAACUACGUGCCAGCAGCCGCAGUAACAC
rnacentral:rRNA from 1 species